rnacentral:rRNA from 1 species
AAAGGAAUAGACGGGGACCCGCACAAGCGGUGGAUCAUGUGGCUUAAUAUGACGCUACGCGUAGAACCUUACCGAGGCUUGACAUCCCUGGAACCCCUGAGAGAUCAGGGGGUGCCGCAAGGAAUCAGGUGACAGGUGCUGCAUGGCCGUCGUCAGCUCGUGUCGUGAGAUGUUGGGUUAAGUCCCGCAACGAGCGCAACCCUCAUCGUAUGUUGUAUUUUUCAUGCGAGACUGCCCGGGCCAACCGGGAGGAAGGUGGGGAUGAAGUCAGGUCGGCAUGGCCCUUACGCCUCGGGCCGCACACGUGAUACAAUGGCCGGUACAACGCGCCGCCAAGUCGCAAGACGGAGCUAAUCGCAUCAAAACCGGUCCCAGUUCGGAUUGGAGGCUGCAACUCGCCUCCAUGAAGUCGGAAUCGCUAGUAAACGUGGGUCAGCACACUACGUUGAAUACGUUCCCGGGUCUUGUACACACCGCCCGU